GAAUAGCGGAGCUUAUUGUAUUAAUACAAUAUUAACUCUGUUAAAUAAAAUUCUAGGUAUAUUUAUGAUUAUGACAUUGUAUACUUUAGGUCUUGACCAAGUCACGUGCCAGCAGUCUCGGUAAUACGUGGAAGACGAGUGUUAUUCAUCUUUAUUAGGUUUAAAGGGUACGUAGACAGCUAAUUAAGCUUACCGCAGGUCAGUACUAAUUAUGCUAGAGUUUAUAUGAGGAAAGUAGUACGGUGAGCGUAGAGAUGAAAUUCUUUGAGGCCACUUAGAAACUGAUAAAGGCGAAAGCGGCUUCUUAUGUAAAACUGACGUUUAGGGACGAAGGCUCGAUGAAAUAACAGGAUUAGAUACCCUAGCAUUGUGAGCAGACAAUGAUGAAUGUCAUAUAUAAGACUUCACAAACCAGUCACCAUUGACUGGCUAUUAACCUUUAAGUUUUAAGUUUAAUAACAGGCAAUUAAGCUUAAGCUUAAACUUUAGGCUUAUAAACAAUAAAUAAGCAAAAGUGUGUUAAAGUGAAAAAUGUUUUUUAUAUAAAUGAAAGUGUAAGCAUUCCACCUCAAGAGUAAUAUGGCCUCAUAUAAACUGAAAUCAUUAGACCGUUUCUGAAACCAGUAGUGAAGUAUGUUGUUUAAUUUGAUAACCCACGGAAAACCUUACCACAAUUUGUAUAUUUAUAUUCUUUUUAUAAAUACAAGCGUUGCACGGCUGUCUUUAGUUAAUGUCGUGAGACUUUGGUUAGCUCCAUUAAAUUAACGUAAACCCUUACUUUAUUUUAUUAUAUAAAGUAGUUCGCCACUAUAUUGGUUAUGAUAUAAGGGAUUAAGACAAGUCAUCAUGGCCUAAAUAUU
rnacentral:rRNA from 1 species